rnacentral:rRNA from 1 species
AGUGAACGCUGGCGGUAGGCCUAACACAUGCAAGUCGAACGGCAGCACAGUAAGAGCUUGCUCUUACGGGUGGCGAGUGGCGGACGGGUGAGGAAUACAUCGGAAUCUACUUUUUCGUGGGGGAUAACGUAGGGAAACUUACGCUAAUACCGCAUACGACCUACGGGUGAAAGCAGGGGAUCUUCGGACCUUGCGCGAUUGAAUGAGCCGAUGUCGGAUUAGCUAGUUGGCGGGGUAAAGGCCCACCAAGGCGACGAUCCGUAGCUGGUCUGAGAGGAUGAUCAGCCGCACUGGAGCUGGAACACGGUCCAGGGUCCUACGGGAGGGAGCAGUGGGGAAUAUUGGACAAUGGGCGCAAGCCUGGUCCAGCCAUACCGCGUGGGUGAAGAAGGCCUUCGGGUUGUAAAGCCCUUUUGUUGGGAAAGAAAAGCAGCAGGUUAAUACCCCGCUGUUCUGACGGUACCCAAAGAAUAAGCACCGGCUAACUUCGUG